AAUAAGGCCUUCAUCGAUGUUUGAAGGGAUUCAGGAUAGAUUCAUACAUAUGCGGGUCAAGAAGCCAAAGAAGUUUUUGAAUAAGUACUUAUUAUAAUAAUGAACAAUACUCCACGAGAACGAUCAAUACCGGGUUGAAAUUAAUAUUGUGCUUAUAGUCUAGUCACACUGACGACCAUCCACCAUCCAUUUCGGGGAUGGUCCGUAAGGUUUUGCCGUUCUGAAAAUUUCCCAGUUAGUCUACCAUCCAUUUUGGAUGUUGCUAAACCGCACGUUUCUAUGCGACAGAUCGCCGAUGGUGAAAAAUUGAAAAAUUGUUAUUCAAAACGAAAAAAUGGUAGUCACUACGAAAACGUAUAUAUUGAUUGUGACAAAAUAAACUAAAAACAACAACAAUCAUGCCCAAUGGCUCGGAUCAUUAAGGCUGGCGAUGAGAUGGAAUGCGGCGUUACCGAGUCUGUCAGGGUGAAGUUGCAAGUGUGUAGCGAAUAAAUGGCAGACGACUGACAACAUAGAACAAAUAUUUUUAUGCUUUGUAAAUGCUUUAUGUUAUGCAUAAUUUAUUCUUGGAUAAUGAGUUUUUUUCGGGCAUUAUCGAGUUGGAUGUGGACGGAUCAUGUAGCUCCAGCACCUUUUCUGGCAGCAUAGGCCCCACCAAAGCGAGCCAAAAAGACGACACUUCUUGGAUGGCAGAGAUAACCAGAGAGCGACUCGAAGAGCAGACGGACCUUCACAGGAAGAAGGAAGAACAUGAAAUGAAA